GGCUAAAGCGUCGUAGCUGGCCAGACAAGCCAUUGGGAAAUCCACGCGCUCAACGCGUGGGCGUCCAGCGGAAACUGUCUGGCUUGGGGCCGGAGGACUCGAGGGGUACGUCUGGGGUAGGAGUGAAAUCCCGUAAUCCUGGACGGACCACCGGUGGCGAAAGCGCCUCGAGAGGACGGACCCGACAGUGAGGGACGAAAGCCAGGGUCUCGAACC
rnacentral:rRNA from 1 species